rnacentral:piRNA from 1 species
UGGUUGCUUCUGAUGUCACCUCCAA